rnacentral:lncRNA from 1 species
CUCGUAUGGACCAGGUGACCUGGCUAUGCUUGGUGCAGGAUAGUGUGUAGGUGUGUGUGUGCAUGUGGGUUUGUUGUGUGCAUGAAUGUGUGUGUGUGUAUGUUUGUGUCUUGGAAGAGAGUAUACAAGUCAAAGGGAACAAGCUAAGAACCAGAGAGACAGGAUAUCUUUGAAGAUCUGCAAGCCAUCGGGCGUGGCUGAACAGAAUUCGGCCAGAACAGGAAGUAAGUGUUUGAAGCUGAAGCUGUGCCCCCUCUGUGGGCUACUGGAAGCCACAAUGUGCCAGGAUGCUGGGCAAAAGCUGCCUCUGAUCGUUAUCUAAGCACAUGAAAGCUGACUGGCAAGUUGGGCUCACAGCUCCUGUUGUGGCUCCUGUCUGUGAUCCCGACACUCGGGGAGGCUAAGGCAGAAGGGUCGUCGCAGUUUGAGGACAGAGUGGGCUGCAUAGUGAGUUCCAGGGCAGCCUGGUACGGUGGCAAAUACUGAGAUCUUAGCAUACGGGAGGCGAAGGCCUAAGGACCAGAAGUUCAAGUCCACCAGGUAGAAACAACGAACCAAUUCUCACAAGCUGACCUUCAGCCUUAGCACCUGUUCACCUACACACACACACACACACACACACACACACACACACACACACACACACACAAAGUAUCUUUUGAAAUGAUGACUGUUAUUAAAGCUUAGAUUACAUUAUCUAUGUGAAACAAGAUUUCCAGGCCCUAACACAGACAGAGGAGCAAUCUACAAGUUUGUUGUUAUAAGAAGUUCCUAGGAGAUUUUAAAACAACAGCAAAGUCUGUGACCUCCGCCUUAGUUAACUGCAAUAGGAAACCAGCUUUACUUGUUAAAACCAACUUUUCUAUUUAUACCCCAUGCCUCACACCAGUCUAUAAAAAUGGCCUAAGAAAGGCUUUGUAAGUUGUGUAUAAGGCCUCUUCAUUAUCCUCCUUUUUAUUGUGGGUUAGUUGUUGUCCUGGGAUUUUUAUUGAUGUGACAAAACACCAUGCCCGACAUCAAGUCGGGAAGGAAAAGGUUUAUGUUGCUUAUACUUCCAGGUAACAGUCCGUCACUGAGGGAAGUCACGACAGGGACGCCAGCAGGGCAGGAACCUGGAGGCAGGAGCAGGAGGAGGCAGAGGCCAUGGAGAGCGCUGCUCACUGGCUUGCUCAGUCUGCUUUCUUACAGAACCCAGGACCAUCAGCCCAGGGAUGGCUACACCUUCAACCGCUAGUGAAGGAAACGCCCUUCAACCUGAUCUCAUUCCUCUCAAUUGAGGUUCCCAUCUCUCAGAUGACUCUAGCCUGUGUAUCAAGGUGACAUCAGGCUACCAAGAAUAACUGACCCCUUGUCAGCUUGACACACAGACACAUCGCUUCAGUAUUAAGCCAUAACCUUUCCUUUCUGUUCACUCCCAAGAUCACACAUUAAUAUUGACACCACAGUCUAAAACAUCCCCAAAUUUAAACGUCCCAUAGAAUUUAAAAAUGUAAACAGUAGGGCUAGAGAGAAGGCUCUGUGGUUAAGAGCACUGGAUGUCCUUCCAGAGGACCUGGGUUCAAUUCCCAGCACUGACACGGCAGCUCAGUACUGUCUGAAACUCAGUUCAAGGGGAUCUGGCCCCACCACACAGACAUACAUGCAGGAAAAACACGAGUGCACAUAAAAAUAAAUAAAUCUUUAAAAAAUUCAAAUAGUGGGGCUGGAGAGAUGGCUCAGUGGUUAAGAGCACUGACUGCUCUUCCAGAGGUCCUGAGUUCAAUUCCCA